GACUUGGUCAUGGCGCUUCGUAAGGCU
rnacentral:sRNA from 1 species